UAAAGAAACAGAAACAGAACAUUCAAACAUUUCGUCCUCUUCUCUUUCCUCUUCUCCGCUCCCACCUCUUCUUAUUCUUUGUUUUUCUUUUUCUCUCUCUUCUGCUUUUGUGGAUUUGAUUGUGUCUUGUAACUCUGAGAGAGCGUCCUUCAUUACACGAAUUUGUGCUUUGGCAUGAAGAGAAGCAAUAAGAUUUGCUUUGUGAGGACCUUUUUUUAACUCUUCACAGGCGUUCCAAACUCUCCCAACAAAAGGUGGUAAACUUCCUUCUUUUACCAUCUUAUUCUUCUG
rnacentral:ribozyme from 13 species